rnacentral:lncRNA from 1 species
AUAACCUGUUUGGAUGUGUGGUCUUUGCAUGGUGGAUCCAUGCUUAGACUGAAGCAGCUGUACCGAACUCUGUAGAGCUUUAAAGGAAUGGACCUCUGGCCCCACCUAGACCCAUAAUAUAAGAAUUUCUAGAGAAGGGACUCAGCAUUUGCAUUUAAAUAACUACCCUAGGUGAGUCUGUUGGAUGCUUUGCACUGAGAACUAUAGGUCUUCACUUUCCAGUCUAUACAUGACAUCCAUUUUUACAACCUAACUCAUUGCAUCUGUUCAGAUGAUGAAGGCUAAGAUUUCAUGGCAGGAAUGGAAAUGAUUGAUUUGAAAGGGGUUUUUUGGGCAAUGUAAGAAAAAGGAAACAUGGACUGUUUGAAUAAAGCCAGUCUCCUUCUCACACCAAUAAACUGAUUUUCUUUGGGAAGACCUUUCUGCCUUGCUAAGACUAUAAUGUUAAAAUAGUGUUCCUGCUCCUAACUUUAUUCGAAAGCUGUGCUGAAAGUGUUCACAUAAUGAUUAGGAGGCAACAUUGUGAGGGGUAGAGAGAGCCCAGUUUGUAGCUGGUGGGGCUGUGUUUGCAUAUGGACACUGCUGCUUGCUCUCGAUUGAUCUUGCUAGCAGUUUGAUUCACUUGAUGACUUGAUGAUCUGGAAGGCUUGCCAACCAAGGUCACUGUUCCCUUUCCUUCAGGGUAUUUGCAGGUACUCAUUAUUUGCUGACAGGACAAAAGCAACAUGUGCAAAUGCCCAGUUUGAAGCUUUGAUGUGGGAGUCUUGGCUCCUUGAUCAUUUGAUAUGACCUCUUGGAAUCAAAAGAAAGUUUUAAUGGAAUUUCACUGAGGUCAGUUGCUAUAAUUAGACUUUAAUCUGUGGAUCCAUAGUCUGUCCUCCUGCUCUGAGCAAGGAGGUAGAAAGUGUGAGCACACUUCUCCUUGGACCUGCUUGUGGGAACUGCAGCCUGGAAAUUCCCACGGGGGCUAUAACCUUGGCAGCACUCUCACACCAGGGCCCCCUCUCAGGCAGAAGCCUUCAGGUAAUGAAGGUAAUAGGUGAAUAGCUAAUCUACAUUACUGUUUUAACAGUUCUGCACCUUUGCAAUUAGGAAAAGUCAGAGCGUGAGCCAAUUCAAAUAGGAAAAGCAUCCCGGCUAAACAACAAGGUCUUAGUGUGCAGCACAGGGAACUAUAUCCAGUCUCCUGGGAUAGACCAUGAUGGAAAAGAAUAACAAAAGGAAUGCAUAUAUGUGUACAACUGAAUCACCUUGCUGUACAGCAGAAAUUAGCACAAUUUUGUAAAUCAACCAUACACGAAUUAAAAAAAAAAAAAGGAAAGGUAUCCCCACUUGGGCUGACCCUAAAAAGUCUGUUAUAAUGUACAAGCUCAGUGCUUGGUUUCUUCCCUCCUUCAGCUAUGCUUAGUAUUUUAAAUUUACUAUGAUUUUAUCCCCUACAAACUGUAUUUGGUAAUAUUUUUCAUCUCUUUCUGAAAUGAGGAAGGUAAAGAAAGGGCAUCUUCUGGUCACUCCGGAUACUCUACAAGGAUGAUUUCCAGCACAAUAGUGUGGAGCAAUACUUGAUUCUUUGUGUCUCUGUGUGUGAAAUUUAGUGCUCACAACUAAUUCUGUCCCAAGUAAUUUUUGUUUCAUUUGUAUUGAUCAGUUCACAUUUUCCCAAGUGCUGUCUUUAAGUGAGGGCAAUAUCAGUACUUGUGUGCCUAUUGUUAUAAUGCUGAGUGCAGUUUUUAGUAUGGUUUCCUGUGUCAUUGUUUGAUAUUUUCAUUUUUUAUUGUUCUUGAGUGUGACCAAUGAAAAAAAAGGAAAAUUUCAACUUUGAUUUAUGAUGUCAUUAAAAAUAUGAAGAAAUAAAAUCUUAAUAUUGGGGAAUUGUCUUUUUUGUAGUCAUAAAUAGUAGUAUUUUGGAGGGCAGGGGAUAAGGGUUAUGAGUAUAUAUCUCACCUUUAUUGUUAUUAUUUUAUAGUCUUUGAGGAAAAGGUGAGAAAAACAUAUUAAGGAAGAAAAAUUUAGCAUGCCUUAUAUUCCAUGUGUGAUAUCAAGGUUAGUUUUAUAAAAUUAAUUAUAUCUUGCAUCUCCCUUUAAGAUGCUUAAUUAGAAAUAUAGCUCAAGUAGUGAUUGAGGUUCCAUGGUCUGCAUAGUGUUGCCAUCCGCAUCACUCAAGGGACAAUACAGGACAAUACAGGAUGGUGGAGGGGGCUGUGGCUCUUGACUCUCUCUCAGGCUAUAUGUAAUUCUGCUGAGCUUCAUUUUUCUCCUGUUUUAGGGGAGCAUUGUUGUGCAGUGGUGAAGGCAGAUGAGGUCAAGGACUGGCCAGGCUCUGAUUCAAAUUCUGCCUUUUCCUUUUACAACUGUGGGAUUGGAGGAAGUUCUUAAUCAUCCUCUCUAAAUAUCCUUUUCCUAUGUGUAAAAUGUAGAUGAUCACUUCUUAAAAAUUGUUCUUGAAAAUUAAAUUAAAUUAAAUUAAGCCUUGGGAGUUCCCAUUGUCGUGCAGCAGAAACAAAUCCUACUAGGAACCAUGAGGUUGCAGGUUAGAUCCCUGGCCUUGCUCAGUAGUUAGGGAUCUGGUGUUGCUGUGAGCCAUAGUGUAGGUCACAGAUGCGGCUUCGAUCCUAUGCUGCUGUGGCUGUGGCAUAGGCUGGCAGCUGUAGCUCUGAUUGGACCCCUAGCCUGGGAACCUCCAUAUGCCGUGGGUACGGCCC